rnacentral:rRNA from 1 species
AGUGAACGCUGGCGGUAGGCCUAACACAUGCAAGUCGAACGGCAGCACAGUAAGAGCUUGCUCUUACGGGUGGCGAGUGGCGGACGGGUGAGGAAUACAUCGGAAUCUACUUUUUCGUGGGGGAUAACGUAGGGAAACUUACGCUAAUACCGCAUACGACCUACGGGUGAAAGCAGGGGAUCGUCGGACCUUGCGCGAUUGAAGGAGCCGAUGUCGGAUUAGCUAGUUGGCGGGGUAAAGGCCCACCAAGGCGACGAUCCGUAGCUGGUCUGAGAGGAUGAUCAGCCACACUGGAACUGAGACACGGUCCAGACUCCUACGGGAGGCAGCAGUGGGGAAUAUUGGACAAUGGGCGCAAGCCUGAUCCAGCCAUACCGCGUGGGUGAAGAAGGCCUUCGGGUUGUAAAGCCCUUUUGUUGGGAAAGAAAAGCAGCCGGUUAAUACCUCGCUGUUCUGACGGUACCCAAAGAAUAAGCACCGGCUAACUUCGUG